UUGCAGAUGACCAGUUGAUUGCAUUGAGCUCCUGACACCAAAGGACCUCCCUUAAGAGAUCCAUAGCCACCUAAAACAGACUGAUCCCAUAGCUAAAGGGAAAUGCAAGGGGAGAAAGAAUAGCUAUUGCCUGAAUUGUGGGUAGACCAUUGAGUUAGUCCAUAUAACUUGGAUGGUCCCUAGAGACUAUUUAUGAAUGGUGCCCAGAAUGGAAUGGAAAGAAAACAACAGUCUAGAUUACAUCAGAGAAAUUGUACCACCUUUCUCAAGCUAAUCCUUGCAACCAAAAUUCCUCUUUUAAAUAUCAGUGUUUUCCUGGUCAGGCUAUAGGGUUGAGAGACAUAGCAGAAUCUCAUCCUGGGGGGAAUCAUAAUUGUAGGUGUCUCAAAGAGUAACCAAAAAACUAAAAUGAGUAUAAAUAGUCUGAUAUUUUAGCAAUAUAUUACCAAUGAUGGAUUUAUCCAAGUGGUAGAAAAGGCAUCAUUAAGAAGGCAUAUGACUGGGAAAGAAGGAAUAGUGUAGUGAAAUUGAGGGUUUAAUUCAUUAACUAUUGCACAAAUGUUUUAAAAAUUGUUAGAAAAAUGGGGUAUUGUUAGAUGCUCUCUAGAGGAUUCAUGGAAAUAAUUGAACAGGAUGAAUUCUCAGAUGGAUUGUGAACUAUAUCAUUAGAGGGAGUGUGCAUAUUGAUGAGACCAUAAACACAUAGAGAUUUCACUAUAAAUAUCAGAUCUAUGCUUUCUAGCAAAUAUUCUGUCCUAGGUGGGGUUUCUAGAUCUUAUAGUAUUACAGAAUCACAGAAUGUUGAUUGAGCUGGAAGGGAAUUCAAGAGACCAUUUAAUUGAACCUCUUCAUUCUACAGGUGAAAAUUAAGGCACAGAAAGGAGAAGGUACAUGCUCUGGGUCAUACAACUAGUUCUUAGCAGAGCUGGGUAGAACCCAGAUUUUUAGACUCCUGGUAUAGUGCAUCUUCUUUCUUUCUUUCUCUCUUUCCUUCCUUCCUUCCUUCCUUUCUUUCUUUCUUUCUUUCUUUCUUUCUUUCUUUCUUUCUUUCUUUCUUUCUUUCUUUCUUUCUUUCUUUCUUUCUUUCUUUCUUUCUUUCUUUCUUAUCUUACCAUCUUUCCAUCUUGGAAUCAAUACUAUGUAUUGGUUCCAAGGCAGAAGAGCAGUAAGAACUAGGCAAUGGGGGUUAAGUGACUUGUCCAGGGUCACACAGCUAGAAAGUGUCUUGAGGAUUUGAACCCAGAACCCCCUGUCUCUUGGUCUGGCUCUCUAUCCAAUGAGCCACCUAGUUGCCUCCAGAUUCCACAUUCAAAAUAAAUCAUAUUAACUCAUAUUUGUGAGAAGCA
rnacentral:lncRNA from 1 species